rnacentral:lncRNA from 1 species
GAAAGAAAAGAGAGAAAAUUAGGCGCAGGGUUUUUGGUGUGUACCCUAGGGUUUUUACCUAGGGUUCGGGAAGUGAGAUUGGUGUGCCACGAGUGUCGUGAGUCCACCAAAUUUCAGGAAGAGAUCCAUCAGCCUCUCAAGCAACUGUGCAGACGAUCCAGAGCAUCUGAGAAGUCGGCACACAUCGAUCGAAGGAGUUCGAUCAACAUCUGCCAUCAAAAGGGUG